AGCGAACGCUGGCGGCAGGCCUAACACAUGCAAGUCGAACGGAUCCUUCGGGAUUAGUGGCGGGCGGGUGAGUAACACGUGGGAACGUGCCCUUUGGUUCGGAACAACUCAGGGAAACUUGAGCUAAUACCGGAUGUGCCCUUCGGGGGAAAGAUUUAUCGCCAUUGGAGCGGCCCGCGUCUGAUUAGCUAGUUGGUGAGGUAAAGGCUCACCAAGGCGACGAUCAGUAGCUGGUCUGAGAGGAUGAUCAGCCACAUUGGGACUGAGACACGGCCCAAACUCCUACGGGAGGCAGCAGUGGGGAAUCUUGCGCAAUGGGCGAAAGCCUGACGCAGCCAUGCCGUGUGAAUGAUGAAGGUCUUAGGAUUGUAAAAUUCUUUCACCGGGGACGAUAAUGACGGUACCCGGAGAAGAAGCCCCGGCUAACUUCGUGCCAGCCGCCGCAGUAACAC
rnacentral:rRNA from 1 species